UCUUUUUCUGGUGUGACUACUUUUGUUCUC
rnacentral:piRNA from 1 species